AACCAUUAAAUUAAAUUCACAUUAUUUUUAAUGUCCGCUUAGUUUGAAAGUAUUUAUAAUGUAACUGACCUGACCUAAUCGACCAUUUUAUUUAUUACGCAUUCACUAACGAUUUGAAAAGAGGAAGUGAAAGAGCAUAGAAUAAAAGUAUUUUCGGAUUGUUAGCAUUUUUUUCCGCAUGAAUACGCAGGUAUUGUGAUGAAAAUUAAAAAAUUCGAUUUCUCCGAAAGUAGUUGGAAUUUAUUAUCUCCGCCGGUUGAUUUGAAAAGAGGAAGUGAAAGAGCACAGAAUAAAGGUGUUUUCGGAUUUUUGGCAUCUAUCGCGACUGUACAUGUUUACCGAGAAGUGUUUAGGCUUCACCAGCACUUUUCAUUUUUGCAUACCUCAGUAAUUUUUUUAUCAAACCAUAUAUCUGCCAUGGAAGAUCCAAUCACUCAUUUUUAAUAAUAGUUUAAAUUUAGGUUAAUAUUUUUUGUGAUUUUAUUUGUUUUUAAAUAGUAAUUAAUUUAUUUUGAGUGCUAUCUUGAAUUAUUAUUCUGUUGUUUGUCUUGCUAGUGUCAUCUUUUAAAAUAACAUUUUAAUAUAUCAGUUUUGUUUCUUGUCUUGUCAUCCAAAACAUAUACUUUUUUGAAAUUUCUGUUUUGUAGGUUAUGUGUGUGUUAGUUCAUGUGGGGAUAUGGUGUGUUGUGUAUGUGUUGUGUGUCUUGUACAUCUUUCCACGCGACACAGCUAUUUCACAUGUUUUCCACACAUUACACCGUGUAGUUUCAUCUACCUAAUCAGUCUUCAAUUUCUUGCAAGUUUUUUGUUUUGAAUUUAGAUGUUCCUUUUGUUUUAAUUUUGUGUACUAGGUUGUUGCUGUAGGACAUCUCUCCUGUGGGGUGUCUGCUGCAUGGAGUUUGCUAGGGUGGUUGCGGCUUCGGCUCGGUAUUGCUGCGACUCACCGUUUCAGCCAUCUCUGCUGCUGUUCGAGCCCAGCUUCCUGCGCGUGAAGAAGAUCAAGAUGGCGGGCUGGACCUACAUGGCGGCCGCAUGUCGAUGGCCAGGGUCAACGUCUCGGAGCACGUAGUGGUCGUCAUGGCGCGAUUCUUCGUCAUGGCGCGGUUCGCCGCCAUGAUGAUGCGUGUCCUCCAAGAGAACAACCGCGAGAGCUUCCAGAACUUCAGGCUCCGAGUGGGUAUAUCCCACGGGGAGGUGACGGCGGGAGUGGUCGGCUCCCACAAGCCCCUGUACGACAUCUGGGGGGACGCCGUCAACAUGGCCUCGCGCAUGGACUCCACUGGGGAACCAGGUUGAAUACAGACUGCUUACAGGUGACAGAAGAAACAGCGGUAGUUUUGAGGGAUCAGCAAGUCAGUUGCCAGUGUCGCGGACUGACCUACGUCAAGAACAAAGGCAACAUGAUGACUUAUUUCGUGGACAUUGAUUCAAACUUCAAUUUGAUUGAAUCGAGAACACCAGUACACACUUUUCAUCAGUGCACCGAUGAAGAAAACACUAGGUUAUGACACUUGGACUUUCCUAAGCAGUAUUAGUGUCUUGUACAUAAGUGAUCCACUUUGAAGCUACUACAAAGUGUAACAAAGAUUUAGUGAUAUCAUUGUAAGAUUGACAUUUUAUAAAUACUUUUUUUUUCAAUAAAAUCAAAUAAAAAUGCAAGAAAGAAGCUAAUGCCCAGAAGUAUUCCGAAUCUUUUACCAAAAAGUGGGAAGAACCAUUUUCAUGUCAGAUUUUGUGAUUUUAUAUAAUAUUUAUAAAUAAAAUAUUAUUUUACUAUAAUCUUAAUUUUUUUCUGUUGUAUAUCUUAUACAUCUAUCCAUGCAGAUUAAAACUAUUUUUUGCACAGCCUACACAAAUUGAAUUAUUUUCAAAAUCCUAUUUAUUUUGGAAACUAUUAGAAAAUUAAAAAUAAUUGUGAAAAAUGUUCAAAACUUCUUGAAUAUUUUAGAUACUAAUGAAAACAUCCAAGUGUUUGAACUAGCCGUUCCAGAAAAGUCUCUAAUCUCAUUACUGUAAUUACAAAGAAUUACGUGCAUCCAGGGGUUUUUGCAGUGAUCUAGAUAUGUAGGCAUCUAUAGCAAAAAAAUUUGGUUUAUUGAGGUAUUUGUUGACAAGACAAGCCAAGGAAUAAGAAUACAUUAAUAACUACCAUAAUUUUACCUGUCCCCCUGGUCCAAGAAAUAUGGGGAGAACGAUAUUAAAACAAUCUGGUAGGUAGCCACAGAACUUAGAACCUGCAACAGAAGAAAUACAAGGAUAUCACAAGGGCGCUCGGGGUGUCUCACAAGAUUAACAUUUAAGCAAAAGGGGUCGUAAUGUAGCAUAGUGGUAUCAGGUUAGCCUACACAUCAAUCCAUUUCUGUUGCAAGGAUUUGAUUUCCAUAUACGUUCUACAGAACAGUUCAAGGGCUGAAAAAUGUUACUUUGCCAACAGUUUAAUCCAAUUAAGUUGGUAACAAUUUUCCAUUCUCCCUGACCUAAAUGCAUGAUUUAUCUCGUCAAACAAAGGCAUAAUUAAAAUUUAUUUAUUCAGUAAGCAAAUCUGUAAGAUAAAAAUAAUUUUAAGACUCAGAUAAUACAGUCUAGUUGUUUGACAACUUUCCCAUUGUACUGACCCGAAUAAAAGUCGGCUCGGUACAAAUCGAUGUAUGGCUUUACAGUUUAAAAUUUGGGAAAAAAAAUUAUUAAAUUUAAAAAAAAAAACUUGCUUACAGAAUUUUUUUUAGAUACGCUUAUUUAUGCAUUCCUUCAAUGGCCAUUCAUUAUGAAACUUUGAGUUAGCUGUAUAAUUUUCAAAACUGUGUCUGCAUAUUACAGUAUUUACACAAUAAUCCACAAAGAAUUUUUCUUAAAAUGUGUGUUGAGAAAGCAUGGUGCGCUGCAAUGCUGCGUAGCACAAGUUCCUUAGAACUCCAAUGUUGGUUAACCUGCUGUUGCUUAAUGGACAAUAAUCAUCUUGCAUGUGGUUUGAAAGUGCAUUUUUUUUUGUGAAAAGGACGUUGCAGUGAUUACUGAAGGUCUGCAGAUUGCAAUUAUCUAUUGUUACACUCCUCAGUCUCUCUUGAUGAUUGGGGUUACUAGUGGAUCUUUGGUUUCAGAAGGCAAAAUAAUGAUUUAGUCUAGACGUUAGUACCUCUGUUUUUAUUUUACUUUUGAUUAUUUUCACAUUAUAUUAUAUAAGUGGAUUAACAAAAAAACAUAUACAACAUAGAUUUAAAAUCACAUUAUUAAAGGAAUGGGCCAUCCCUUAUUAGACAAUUAAAUUAAUCUUUAACAUAAUUUAAAUAAAAUUCAUAACAAUAAAAUGAGUCGCAGUCCCAGGAUCUUUUAAGUCCUAAUGAAAAAUUGCUGGUUGUCUGAUCUGUUAAACGUCGUGAUUCCAUGCUAGUCCAAAAAGGUUUUUAAAAACUGAAGGACUGGCGGUUUGAAGGUUGCUGGAUGAAGUGAAACAGCUGACUGGGCGUCAGAGGGCCUUAGUCAUCCGGCCGUGGAGACUGAUCUGGACCUUGGAAUGUUCCCGGUUCUUGUAAACUGGUCCAGUGCUUGUACCCUGGUCCGGUACUUGUACCCUGUCUGUGAACAGAUCCGAAACACAUAUGUUCAGGACUGAUUCACAGACAGUUGGUGAAAUAGGCAGAAAAUGCCUUCUAGUCACGAUGAUGGUCGGGGAGUAAAAGUAGUAAAAACUCACAAAACAGGGUGAUGAGCACACGGACCCGUCUCGGGCAUUUCAUGAUUUAAAAAAUUAAUUAUUUAUGAGUUUAUGACUAUAUGAUAACAUGACUACUCGAACUAGAUCCACACGGACUGACUAACGCCAAAACACUACCGUUGUGGGAAUCAUCCGUGGUCUAGUUGAUCACAUCUUAAAAGAAAAACGGAGAGGCGUCCUGAUGAUGUAGAUGUGAAGUAGUCAGUCCCGAAUUGCGGCGCGCUGUAAGUUUGGGGCGGCAGAGACUCGUAAUUAAAAGGCGAAGUUAAAGAAAGAAAGAAAGAAAGAAA